rfam:Trichobilharzia regenti genome assembly, scaffold: TRE_scaffold0054863
GUACUGCUGAGGAGUCUCAAACUAGGACGAAACAGCUGUCCAGUAC